UUAAGGCUUGUUUCUCAUAACAUUCGCAGUUGCCGCCUAAGAGCUCUCGCCCUGCCAGGCUUGAGAGCUAAUGCUGUUAAUUCCUUCCUUGGAUGUCUGA
rnacentral:snoRNA from 1 species